rnacentral:lncRNA from 1 species
GCCCCGCGCCGGGACCCCGUCCGCCCCGCGCCGCCGCGCCGCUCUCGCCGCUCUCGCCGCCCGCUCAGGUCCUGCCCUCGCUCCCCCUCCCCGAGACCCCAGAGCGGGGCGCGGCGGGAGAGCGAAGGGAGCGGGGCGCUGGAGCCGCGGCGGGCGGCUGCGCGGGAGCCGGGCUCGCGCCUCCCGCCCCGCGGUCCUCCGCCGGCCCGGCUCGCGGCACACGCCCGGGCUCCGAGGGGCUGGCUGGCAGGCCGGCCGCCCGCUCCCUCGCGCUCCCUCCGGCGCGCACUGGCCACGCCCCCGGCCCGCCGCGGCCAAUCGGCGGCCGGCUCCGGCGCGUCUCCCUCCGCGCCCUCCAAUCGGCGCGCUCCGUCCGCGGGCGGCCCGUUAGCUCCCCGGCCCUCUCCCGGGGCUGGGCCGCCCCCCGUCGCUCGGCUCCAAUCGCCUGCAGCCCACGGAGGCGUCGCCCCGCCCCCGCCCGGGCCCCGCCCCCGGCCCCGCCCCCGGCCCCGGCCCCGCCCCCCCCCGGCCCGGCGCGCGCGCCGCUCAUUGUUGGGCCCGCAGCCCGAGCCGCUCCGGCCGCCGCGGCCGCCCGCCCUCGCCGGGCCUUCCGGGCUGCCCCGCCCGCCUCGCUCCUCCCCGCCGCGCAUCAGGCCACCGCGAGGGGUGGGCGCCCAGGCUCCUGGAGGCUCGUCGCUGGGGCCUGCGUCUGAGAAACCUUUUACAGAAAAAAAAAAAAAAAAAAAAAAAAAAAGCAGAGCGUGUGUGGCGUUUGUUUUUUUUUGUUUGUUUUUAAAUGAAAACUACAGCCGAUUGCUGCAGCAACUCCGAGUUAAAUUUUUAAAAAAAUACAGGGUUCAAUUCAAAAAAAUAUGUAUUUCUUUUUUCCUAUGCCUUCCACUAUUUUACUCUACUGGGAGCAGGACAAAAAAAACAAAACCACAUAUAGCACGAUCCAUGCCCCCACAGCAGUUUAAACCUAACAUCCCAGCAUUCGUUCAGCCAUUCUUCCAAGAGGUGUUGAGCACCUGCUAUGCGCUUGCAAGCCCUAUGCUGACACUUGUGGGAUUAACAGCCCUAAUACAGAAAUCCUCCAGGUCUAGUGUUGGUAGAGAGGGAAAUACAUCGUGA